CUGCAAACUCACAUCACGUCAUUAGAUCAGGGUUUAGUCUCAUUCUCUGCUCUGGACACCGUCUACUUCCUGAUCCGUUCCUUUGAUGAGCUGAUUACUGGAACACAUGAAGGUUCCGGGUCGUGCUGGACGGAGCAGGAGUACAACCAAGUACAAGUACAACAAGGAUUGGAUGGAUUCUAAAGGCAAGUAUGUGAAGUAAGUAACACACGUAUAAUGUUUCCACUCUGUCCGGAUCAACCCCCAACACUGGCUGUGGAUUCCUGGUGAAGACGCCUGUCUUAUAUUAUCUUAUCUUUGUCUCAUCUGUCCUAGAGACUUCAGGCAUGUAUCAUCAUUAAGACCAGACAUGCCAAAAUAUGGCAAAUAUCAAUCAAAGAUCAUGUAAGUGCCUUACAACAUAUUCAAGGUUAAUGCUACACGCAUUUAAGUUCAUAAUCAUGCAAUAAAAACGAAAAAUUUGUUUGAAAAAAUAAAAAAGUAAAAGCAAUCCACUAAACAUCCAAACACAUUUCAUUAAAAUCAAGUGAACAAAUAAACAAAUAAACACUCUCGCUUCACAUCUGAGCAAAUAGCAAUUAGUUAGAGUAGGAUAACCAACUGACCCUGACCCUUCCCUGCCCAUCUACACACUGUUUGAAUUUCACUACCAGCUACUGUAUAUAAUGCAGGUAGUCUACUAAAUUAUCAAUCACUUUCAAUGUUAGCAGGCAGUCUCUGUCUGAUGUAUCAUCCAUUUUAUCCAGCUGUGUGUUAUCUGUUCCUUGUCCUCCACCCCCUCUACCUCUUCUGUCCCUCUCAACUCCCCUUCCAACAGCAGAUAAAGAGAUCAUUAUACCAUGAUCGUUUUGGUACUAAGAAGAUAUCCCCCACAUCAUCACACAACCAGCAGCCUGAACCGUUGAUACGAGGCAGGAUGGAUCCGUGCUUUAUGGUGUUAGGGUUAGCAAUCCACUCUGAUCUGAUCUGAUCUGUGUUGUUUAUCACAAUGGAACCUGAAGACGUGUGUUGCUCAUUUCAAUGGAAUGUGUUUUUCAGUCCGAGGAACCUCAUGUAAUGUUGAUAAAGGGGCGCCAGUGUCUAGAUUCUGAUGGAUAGGGCCUUUUGGGACCCACAGAGCCUAGGGGCUUGAUCGGAGGGGAUAUCCUGUUUUUACCAAAGACUUUAAACACAAGUUGUGAUCUCAUAAUAUAAAACUGACCGAUGGUCCAUUGUCCAAAACUUAUUAUCAAGUCAGUCAGUGUCAACGGAUGUAUCCUGCACUUCCCGGACGUCUCAGAGAAACCAUUACACGUCUAAUUCUGACCAUCUGAAUGGUCACAUUGGAGAUUCAAUGGAGACUCAUCAGACCAGCACCGUUUUUCCAUCUUCUGUUGUCCAGUUUUGGUGAGUCUGUGUGAAUUAUGGCCUCAGUUUCCUUUUCCUAGCUGACAGGAACCCCUUGUGGUCUUAUGCUGCUAUUGCACAUGGUCUACCUCUGUUAUUGCUGCAUUUUUUCCUUUACAUGCACAUACCACUUAUGUGCCAUUACUGUUUCAACCUCAUGUGUAUAAUAUUCUUUAAAAAAAGUAACUACUGUGUAUAUAGUGUUCUCUGCAUUUUUGCACUGUGUGUUAAUUUGUGCUAAUUUCAAGCAGUAAACGUGUGAACACCCUAACCCUGAAACCCGUGGAUUUAUUAUUAUUUAUUCUUGUACUGCCUUUAUACUUUUUCUCAUUCAGAGCUGCUGUAACGGGGAACUUUCCCCACUGUGAGGUCAAUAAAGUUUAUCUUCUUCAAGGUUGGACGUGUUGUGAUUCAGAGAUGGCGUUCUGCCAGUGGUAUUCAGAGAUGGUUUAACCAGUGGUUAUUUGAGUUCCUGUUGCUUUCUAUCGUCUCCAACCAGUCUGCCCAUUCUCCUCUGACCUUCACAUCAACAAGCUGCUCAUUGGAUGUUUUCUCUUUUUUCAGACCGUUCUCUGUAAACCCUGGAAAUGGUUGUUGGUGAAAAUCCCAGCAGAUCAUCAGAAACUGACCCUAACAACCAUGCCACCUUCAAAGUCCUUAAAUCCCCUUUCUGUCCCAUUCUGAUGCUCCCUUUGAACUUCAUGAAUGAAUGCACUGAGUUGUGGCCAUGGCUGCACUUUCACUUUGCAGAUAGAAGAUCUCCUGGUUUGUGUCCCUCCUGGGCCUUCCUGGGAUCUUUCUGCAUGGAGUUUGCUUUGUGCGAUUUAUAUUUUGUAUUAUAUAACCAUUUGUAUGUUUGUCUCAGUGUGCAGCCCUGUGAUAGACUGUUACCUGUCCAGGUGUACACUAACCCUUCACCCUCAGUGAGCUGGGAUAGACUCCACCACCAAUUGUAACCGUCAUGGGAAUUAAACAGUGUAUAGAUGAUGGGCGGAUGGAUGGAGGUGCUGCCGUGGGAUUGGCUAAUUCGCAAUUUUUGUUAGCAAACAAUUGAUCAGUAGUACCUAAUAAAGUGGCCGAUGAGCGUAGUUAACCCAUCUAAGAACUUAUUCGUGUGUUUUUUUGUUUUUUGUUUGGUCUGUCUUACUUGCGGUAUUUUACAGUUUUUCAUAGAAUGUUUUGAAGGCCUCAUUAAUUUCCAAAGGGGCUGUAGUAACAGCAUUAGUGUUUGUAACUGAUGUUUAACCCAGAAAAACUAUUACUGUUUAAAUAGAAAAGAGCACAUAAUAAUUAAGAUCAGAUUUUCAAAGUCAUUUUAUGUAUAAACACAUGAAAAAUUUGUUUUAUGUUAAAAAAUAUUAUGUGGAUCACAUACAGUUUAAGUUUGAGGUCAUUUAGCUGUCCUCCUAUUGGCUGGUGUCUGAUGCAGUGCUCCUAUUGGCUGGCGUCUGAUGCAGUGCUCCUAUUGGCUGGCGUCUGAUGCAGUGCUCCUAUCGGCUUCCCUGAGUUUUUGAAACUAACUGGACUUUUUCCUGGGACUGUCUGGCACCUCCACAUUCUUUGAAUGGACUUCUGUUUUACAAGUUUUGGAGCAGCAGAAGAUUUUCAGCACGGACCUUGCUAGCCUUGCUGCUAAUUAAGUAGCAUAUUAAGCUCUAUCCUAUGUUCAUUAGCACAAGCUAAUGAACGGGUUAGCAUAAGCUAACCCAGAGGAGCUACUCAGAGUUCCUGUGGACACGCUGGAGGUGAAGGACACGGACCUUUGACGCUCCAGGAGGUCUCCAUCGACAUCAGCUUUUAGCUGCGUGGACACCUGCUGACAGCCUGAUGGACCAAGGAAGGACAUCAUGGAGAAAACAGAGGCAGAUUGUCUCUGGCUGACACCAGACCUUCAAACCAGGUUUGAGCAGACUGGAGCAACCUAACGGUGCCAACGACUAGUCUGCUGGACCUCUGGUCUCUCCUCAGCCUGAUGGACCAAGGAAGGACAUCAUGGAGAAAAAGGAGGCAGAUUGUCUCUGGCUGACACCAGACCUUCAGACCAGGUUUGAGCAGACUGGAGCAACCUAACGGUGCCAACAACUAGUCUGCUGGACCUGGCAGGUAAUAAUUUGAGAGUUGUGAGCAAAGUUAAGUAUCUUGGGCAUUUCAUUACCGACCAGCUGCAGGAUGACCAAGAUACAGUCUACAGUCCUCAUGGAGAUGACAUCGAUGGCCUCACGCAUUGCAUCACAGAUUACAUCAACUUCUGCGUGGACAGCACUGUGCCAACUCGGACGGUACGGUGCUUCUCCAACAACCACCCCUGGGUCACCCCUGAGCUCAAAGCCCUCCUGAACCAGAAGAAAUGGGCUUUCAUCUCAGGGGACAGAGAGGAGCAGAAGAGAGUGCAGCGUGAGCUCCAGUGGCUGAUCAGAAGGGCCAAGAAGGACUAUGGGAAGAGGCUGGAGGAGAAGCUGGUUCAGAACAACGCGCGGGACGUGUGGAGAGGACUUAAGAACAUUUCUGGACAUGGACAGAGUGCCAGAGGGACAGCUGAUGGAGACCAGCGCAGGGCGGACGAGCUGAACUGUUACUUUAACAGAUUUGACUCUCCCCCCACCCCCUCUGCCCCCUUUCCUGCUCCCCCCUCUUCACACAUCCCCAGCCCAGCAGACCCUCCCCUUCCUGCGACACCUUCACCGGCCCCCAACUCACCCACACGGACUACUCCCACCCCCUGCAGGCCACCUCACUCCCCCCU